AGAGUUUGAUCAUGGCUCAGGAUAAACGCUGGCGGCGUGCCUAACACAUGCAAGUCGAACGCCCUUAGCAAUAAGGGAGUGGCGGACGGGUGAGGAACACGUGGGUCAUCUACCUCCGGGUGAGGAAUACCGGCGAGAAAUCGCCGACAAUACCGCAUACGUUUGGCAACAAACAAAGCUCCGCAAGGGGCGCCGGGAGAUGAGCCUGCGGCUGAUUAGCCAGUUGGUGGGGUAAUGGCCUACCAAAGCGACGAUCAGUAGCUGGUCUGAGAGGACGAUCAGCCACACUGGGACUGAGACACGGCCCAGACUCCUACGGGAGGCAGCAGUGGGGAAUUUUGGACAAUGGGCGCAAGCCUGAUCCAGCCAUGCCGCGUGCGGGAAGAAGGCCUUCGGGUUGUAAACCGCCUUUGGCAGGAACGAAACGGCGCGAGCGAAUAUCUCGCGCUAAUGACGGUACCUGCAGAAUAAGCACCGGCUAACUACGUGCCAGCAGCCGCGGUAAUAC
rnacentral:rRNA from 1 species